UGCCCUUGACGUUGCAGACCAGGAAGACGGGCUCGUUGGGGUUCACCACCUUCUCGCUGAAGGAGGACAGGAUCUUUGGAGUACCGUCUGUGGUGGGGGACAAAGUGGUAGGAGACAGGAAUGCAGUGGUGAAUGCAACACUCCUUGGCCACAGGAGACAGUUGCCUGAGCAACGCUGCCAAGGAUGACUUGCACAAAGUCCUGUGCAGACAUCUUUCCCUUCCUGGCGAAGCACUGGUAGGCUCCGCCGUCACUCUUUGACAUUCCC